rnacentral:rRNA from 1 species
ACUACAGGUCCUGCCAGUGUAUAAUCCUGGGGUCAGAUCUCAGAAGCUAAGCAGGACUGGGCUGGGGUAGGACUUGGAUGGGAGACCGCAGGGAGUACCAGGUGCCACAGUG